rnacentral:rRNA from 1 species
GUCGAGAAUCUUCCGCAAUGGGCGAAAGCCUGACGGAGCGACACCGCGUACAGGAUGAAGGCCUUCGGGUUGUAAACUGUUGUCACGCUAUAGGAACCAUUCGUAGUUAAUAGCUGCGAGUCUGACUAAAGCGAGAGGAAGCACCGGCUAACUCUGUGCCAGCAGCCGCGGUAAGACAGAGGGUGCAAACGUUGUUCGGAAUCACUGGGCAUAAAGCGCACGUAGGCGGCCCACUAAGUCAGUUGUGAAAGCCCCCGGCUCAACCGGGGAAUGGCAUCUGAUACUGGUGGGCUCGAGGAAGGUAGGGGUGGGCGGAACUCCAGGUGGAGCGGUGAAAUGCGUAGAUAUCUGGAGGAACACCGGUGGCGAAAGCGGCCCACUGGACCUUCUCUGACGCUGAGGUGCGAAAGCUAGGGUAGCAAACGGGAUUAGAUACCCGAGUAGUCC